GUGAGGAAUAUUGCGCAAUGGAGGCAACUCUGACGCAGCCAUGCCGCGUGCAGGAAGAAGGCGCUACGCGUUGUAAACUGCUUUUAACCGGGAAGAAACCCCAGGACGUGUCCUGGGUUGACGGUACCGGAGGAAUAAGCACCGGCUAACUUCGUGCCAGCAGCCGCGGUAAUACGAAGGGUGCAAGCGUUAUCCGGAUUCAUUGGGUUUAAAGGGUGCGUAGGCAGAGCGUUAAGUCAGUGGUGAAAUCCUGCAGCUUAACUGUAGACUUGCCAUUGAUACUGGCGCUCUUGAGUGCGCUUGAAGUGGGCGGAAUGUGCCGUGUAGCGGUGAAAUGCUUAGAUAUGGCACAGAACACCAAUUGCGAAGGCAGCUCACUAAGGCGAUACUGACGCUGAGGCACGAAAGCGUGGGGAUCGAACAGGAUUAGAUACCCGUGUAGUCC
rnacentral:rRNA from 1 species